GUGAACGCUGGCGGUAGGCCUAACACAUGCCAGUCGAACGGCAGCACAGUAAGAGCUUGCUCUUACGGGUGGCGAGUGGCGGACGGGUGAGGAAUACAUCGGAAUCUACUUUUUCGUGGGGGAUAACGUAGGGAAACUUACGCUAAUACCGCAUACGACCUACGGGUGAAAGCAGGGGAUCUUCGGACCUUGCGCGAUUGAAUGACCCGAUGUCGGAUUAGCUAGUUGGCGGGGUAAAGGCCCACCAAGGCGACGAUCCGUAGCUGGUCUGAGAGGAUGAUCAGCCACACUGGAACUGAGACACGGUCCAGACUCCUACGGGAGGCAGCAGUGGGGAAUAUUGGACAAUGGGCGCAAGCCUGAUCCAGCCAUACCGCGUGGGUGAAGAAGGCCUUCGGGUUGUAAAGCCCUUUUGUUGGGAAAGAAAAGCAGCAGGUUAAUACCCCGCUGUUCUGACGGUACCCAAAGAAUAAGCACCGGCUAACUUCGUG
rnacentral:rRNA from 1 species